rnacentral:rRNA from 1 species
GUAGGGGGCGAACGUUGUCCGGAUUUAUUGGGCGUAAAGGGCUCGUAGGCGGUUCAACAAGUCGGCCGUGAAAACCCGGGGCUCAACCCCGGGACGCCGGUCGAAACUGUUGUGACUAGGGUCCGGUAGAGGUCAUUGGAAUUCUCGGUGUAGCGGUGAAAUGCGCAGAUAUCGAGAGGAACACCAGUAGCGAAGGCGGAUGACUGGGCCGGUACCGACGCUAAGGAGCGAAAGCGUGGGGAGCAAACAGGAUUAGAUACCCUGGUAGUCCACGCCGUAAACGUUGAACACUAGGUGUGGGGACUUAUCCACGUCCUCCCGUGCCCGUAGCUAACGCAUUAAGUGUUCCCGCCUGGGGAGUACGGCCGCAAGGCU